CUCUCUUUUUCACCAUUCGAUUGAUCUCAAAAUUCUUUAUACAUAGAAAAAUAAGUCUAAUAUCCUCUCACAUAAAUUUCACUCCAAUCCAACUAAUAGAUUGCAAGAAAUCUUAAAAAUCCUCACUGGACCUAAAAUUCUACUUUUUGAGACCUUGACCCACUUAAACCUCAAUAAUCUGUAAUUCAACCAUUAGAUCGAGCUCAAAUUUACAACACAUAUUAAACACAACUAUAAACAUGAACCUACAAAAUUUCAUUUGUAGAUCUAUUACAAAACUAUUGAAAUCACC
rnacentral:lncRNA from 1 species